UACGUGAGGGUGCAAGCGUUGUCCGGAAUUAUUGGGCGUAAAGAGCUCGUAGGCGGUCUGUCGCGUCUGCUGUGAAAACUCGGGGCUUAACCCCGGGCCUGCAGUGGGUACGGGCAGACUAGAGUGCGGUAGGGGAGACUGGAAUUCCUGGUGUAGCGGUGAAAUGCGCAGAUAUCGGGAGGAACACCAGUGGCGAAGGCGGCUACCUGGCCCAUUCUUGACGCUGAGGCGCGAAAGCUAGGGGAGCAAACGGGG
rnacentral:rRNA from 1 species